rnacentral:rRNA from 1 species
UGGGGAAUAUUGCACAAUGGGCGCAAGCCUGAUGCAGCCAUGCCGCGUGUGUGAAGAAGGCCUUCGGGUUGUAAAGCACUUUCAGCGAGGAGGAAGGUGGUGAACUUAAUACGUUCAUCAAUUGACGUUACUCGCAGAAGAAGCACCGGCUAACUCCGUGCCAGCAGCCGCGGUAAUACGGAGGGUGCAAGCGUUAAUCGGAAUUACUGGGCGUAAAGCGCACGCAGGCGGUUUGUUAAGUCAGAUGUGAAAUCCCCGGGCUCAACCUGGGAACUGCAUUUGAAACUGGCAAGCUAGAGUCUCGUAGAGGGGGGUAGAAUUCCAGGUGUAGCGGUGAAAUGCGUAGAGAUCUGGAGGAAUACCGGUGGCGAAGGCGGCCCCCUGGACGAAGACUGACGCUCAGGUGCGAAAAGCGUGGGGAGCAAAACAGGAUUAGAUACCCUGGUAGUCCACGCUGUAAAACGAUGUCGAUUUUGGAGGUUGUGCCCUUGAGGCGUGGCUUCCGGAGCUAACGCGUUAAAUCGACCGCCUGGGGAGUACGGCCGCAAGGUUAAAACUU